GCACCGCUAGCUCAACUGGAUAGAGCGUUGGUCUUCGGAACCGAAGGUUGCAGGUUCGACCCCUGCGCGGUGCACCA
rnacentral:tRNA from 3 species